AGUGAACGCUGGCGGUAGGCCUAACACAUGCAAGUCGAACGGCAGCACAGUAAGAGCUUGCUCUUACGGGUGGCGAGUGGCGGACGGGUGAGGAAUACAUCGGAAUCUACUUUUUCGUGGGGGAUAACGUAGGGAAACUUACGCUAAUACCGCAUACGACCUACGGGUGAAAGCAGGGGAUCUUCGGACCUUGCGCGAUUGAAUGAGCCGAUGUCGGAUUAGCUAGUUGGCGGGGUAAAGGCCCACCAAGGCGACGAUCCAUAGCUGGUCUGAGAGGAUGAUCAGACACACUGGAACUGAGACACGGUCCAGACUCCUACGGGAGGCAGCAGUGGGGAAUAUUGGACAAUGGGCGCAAGCCUGAUCCAGCCAUACCGCGUGGGUGAAGAAGGCCUUCGGGUUGUAAAGCCCUUUUGUUGGGAAAGAAAAGCAGCAGGUUAAUACCCCGCUGUUCUGACGGUACCCAAAGAAUAAGCACCGGCUAACUUCGUG
rnacentral:rRNA from 1 species